AGACCCGAAACCCGGUGAUCUAGCCAUGGGCAGGUUGAAGGUUGGGUAACACUAACUGGAGGACCGAACCGACUAAUGUUGAAAAAUUAGCGGAUGACCUGUGGCUGGGGGUGAAAGGCCAAUCAAACCGGGAGAUAGCUGGUUCUCCCCGAAAGCUAUUUAGGUAGCGCCUCGUGAAUUCAUCUCCGGGGGUAGAGCACUGUUUCGGCUAGGGGGCCAUCCCGGCUUACCAACCCGAUGCAAACUGCGAAUACCGGAGAAUGUUAUCACGGGAGACACACGGCGGGUGCUAACGUCCGUCGUGAAGAGGGAAACAACCCAGACCGCCAGCUAAGGUCCCAAAGUCAUGGUUAAGUGGGAAACGAUGUGGGAAGGCCCAGACAGCCAGGAUGUUGGCUUAGAAGCAGCCAUCAUUUAAAGAAAGCGUAAUAGCUCACUGGUCGAGUCGGCCUGCGCGGAAGAUGUAACGGGGCUAAACCAUGCACCGAAGCUGCGGCAGCGAACGUAUCACCCAAGACAACUUUACGGAGUUGACGAUUGACGGAGCGAAGCGACGUCAAAGCGUUCAUUAAAGUCGAGUUGGCUUAGGGAUACGUUCGUUGGGUAGGGGAGCGUUCUGUAAGCCUGUGAAGGUGUGUCGUGAGGCAUGCUGGAGGUAUCAGAAGUGCGAAUGCUGACAUAAGUAACGAUAAAGCGGGUGAAAAGCCCGCUCGCCGGAAGACCAAGGGUUCCUGUCCAACGUUAAUCGGGGCAGGGUGAGUCGACCCCUAAGGCGAGGCCGAAAGGCGUAGUCGAUGGGAAACGGGUUAAUAUUCCCGUACUUGGUGUUACUGCGAAGGGGGGACGGAGAAGGCUAUGUUGGCCGGGCGACGGUUGUCCCGGUUUAAGGGUGUAGGUGUGUGUUCCAGGUA
rnacentral:rRNA from 1 species